rnacentral:rRNA from 1 species
UCCGUAGGGACCAAGCGUUGUUCGGAUUUACUGGGCGUAAAGGGCGCGUAGGCGGCAAUUCAAGUCAUCUGUGAAAUCUCCGGGCUUAACCCGGAACGGUCAGGUGAUACUGUUUUGCUAGAGUGCGGAAGGGGCAAUCGGAAUUCUUGGUGUAGCGGUGAAAUGCGUAGAUAUCAAGAGGAACACCUGAGGUGAAGACGGGUUGCGGGGCCGACACUGACGCUGACAGCGCGAAAGCCAGGGGAGCAAACGGG